AGAUAGUAUAUUACAUGUAAAUCUAUUUAUUUUGGCGGCAUUUUAUCUUAUUAGAGGAACUUGUUCUAUAAUCGAUACUACACGAUAAAUUUCACUUUAAAAAAAAAUCUAUAUACCGCCAUUUUACAGAAUUAAUUAUAAAUUUAUAUUCAAAAUAAUAAAUAAAAAAUUAGGUCAAGGUGUAAUAUAUAUUAAAGAAAGAAUGAGUUACUAUAUAAAUAAUAUAUAUAUAUAAAUAUUCAAAUAUACUUAACAAAAGAAUUUAAAAGUAAUAAAAUAACAAUAAUAUUUUAUGAAUAAGAAAAUAAAUGUGC
rnacentral:rRNA from 1 species